CAGCAGCCGCGGGAAAACAGAGGGUGCGAGCGUUAAUCGGAUUUACUGGGCGUAAAGCGUGCGUAGGCGGCUUUUUAAGUCGGAUGUGAAAUCCCUGAGCUUAACUUAGGAAUUGCAUUCGAUACUGGGAAGCUAGAGUAUGGGAGAGGAUGGUAGAAUUCCAGGUGUAGCGGUGAAAUGCGUAGAGAUCUGGAGGAAUACCGAUGGCGAAGGCAGCCAUCUGGCCUAAUACUGACGCUGAGGUACGAAAGCAUGGGGAGCAAACAGGAUUAGAUACCCGGGUAGUCCCUGUCUCUUAUAC
rnacentral:rRNA from 1 species